rnacentral:rRNA from 1 species
GAGAAUCCCGUAUAUGGUUUAUUGUCUCUUGCACCAUGAAGCUCCUUCAACGAGUCGAGUUGUUUGGGAAUGCAGCUCAAAACAGGAGGUAAAUUCCUUCCAAAGCUAAAUAUUAGCCAGAGACCGAUAGCGAACAAGUAGAGUGAUCGAAAGAUGAAAAGCACUUUGGAAAGAGAGUUAAAAAGUAUGUGAAAUUGUUGAAAGGGAAGCGCUUGCAACCAGACUUUUCACUGUAGGUUAGAUCAUCUAGGCUCUUUGGCCUAGUGUACUCUACCUAUAUUGUGUGCCAGCAUCGGUUUGUUAGUCGAGAGAAAAAGGUAGUGUGUUGUCAAUUCCUUCGGGUUUUUGGCAUGCAUCUACAGGUACAUCUUGAACCCAGACCGAGGACAGCGCUUUUUGCACGGAUGCUGGUGUAAUGGUUGUAAGCGGCCCGUCUUGAAACACGGACCAAGGAGUCCAACAUCCAUGCGAGUGUUUGGAUGUCAAGUCCGUACGCGCAAUGAAAGUGAACGCAAAUGGGAACUCAUGUGUGCACCAUUGACCGAUCUUGAUCUUUUGAAAUGGAUUUGAGUAAGAGCAUGGCUGUUGGGACCCGAAAGAUGGUGAACUAUGCCCG